rnacentral:rRNA from 1 species
AGCGAACGCUGGCGGCAGGCCUAACACAUGCAAGUCGAACGGAUCCUUCGGGAUUAGUGGCGGACGGGUGAGUAACACGUGGGAACGUGCCCUUUGGUUCGGAACAACUCAGGGAAACUUGAGCUAAUACCGGAUGUGCCCUUCGGGGGAAAGAUUUAUCGCCAUUGGAGCGGCCCGCGUCUGAUUAGCUAGUUGGUGAGGUAAAGGCUCACCAAGGCGGCGAUCAGUAGCUGGUCUGAGAGGAUGAUCAGCCACAUUGGGACUGAGACACGGCCCAAACUCCUACGGGAGGCAGCAGUGGGGAAUCUUGCGCAAUGGGCGAAAGCCUGACGCAGCCAUGCCGCGUGAAUGAUGAAGGUCUUAGGAUUGUAAAAUUCUUUCACCGGGGACGAUAAUGACGGUACCCGGAGAAGAAGCCUCGGCUAACUUCGUGCCAGCCGCCGCCGUAACAC